GCCGCCAUAGCACAGUCGGUUAGAGCGUGAAUUUAACAAGCCCAAAGUCACAGAUCCGAUCCCUGCUAGCGACA